rnacentral:rRNA from 1 species
GAUGAACGCUGGCGGCGUGCCUAAUACAUGCAAGUCGAGCGAACAGACGAGGAGCUUGCUCCUCUGACGUUAGCGGCGGACGGGUGAGUAACACGUGGAUAACCUACCUAUAAGACUGGGAUAACUUCGGGAAACCGGAGCUAAUACCGGAUAAUAUAUUGAACCGCAUGGUUCAAUAGUGAAAGACGGUUUUGCUGUCACUUAUAGAUGGGUCCGCGCCGCAUUAGCUAGUUGGUAAGGUAACGGCUUACCAAGGCAACGAUGCGUAGCCGACCUGAGAGGGUGAUCGGCCACACUGGAACUGAGACACGGUCCAGACUCCUACGGGAGGCAGCAGUAGGGAAUCUUCCGCAAUGGGCGAAAGCUUGACGGAGCAACGCCGCGUGAGUGAUGAAGGUCUUCGGAUCGUAAAACUCUGUUAUUAGGGAAGAACAAAUGUGUAAGUAACUAUGCACGUCUUGACGGUACCUAAUCAGAAAGCCACGGCUAACUACGUG